rnacentral:snRNA from 1 species
GUGUGCUUCAGCUGCACAUAUACUAAAAUUGGAAUGACACAGAGAAGAUUAGCACGGCCCCUGCACAAGGAUGACAUGCUGACAUGCAAAUUCAUGAAGUGUUUCAUAUUUUU